rnacentral:misc_RNA from 1 species
AAAAUAAAAAGACAAAUUCCACCUUAAUCCUUUUUCAUACUGUAUAAUGCACACUGAACUGUUAAAACGUGUAUACGUAGAAAUAUUGUGGAAUUAUGGAUAAUGGUGAGUAUUCAAUGCCUUACCCACCUAAAAUCAAAUUUACGAACCCGUCUCCUCCUCCUCUUCCAACCCAAAACCAAACAAUCAUUUCUGCGGCUGGCUUCCUCAAAAUUGCGUCUGCUUUCUUUGUGUUGCUCCAUAUCAUCGGCGAAUGCAUUCCAAAAAGGCACUUCUUUGUCCAAGGAGCAAACCCUUAUGUCCCUUCUCAUGAAAUGCUCCGCCAUGAAAGAUUUGCUACAAAUCCAUGCUCGUAUUAUCCAAUCUGGCUUUGAACAAAACCUCUUUGUCAUAGGCAAAGUCAUCGUAUUUUGUGCUGAUUCAGAGCGUGGAGAUAUGAAUUUCGCUGUUCCAGUUUUUGAAAAUAUUGGAAACCCAGAUGGGUUUCUUUGGAAUACAAUGAUUAGGGGUUUUAGCAAGACUUCUGAGCCUCUAAAAGCCUUUGACUACUAUAAGAGAAUGCAAGGGAAAGGAUUGGUGGCGGAUAAUUUCACUUUCUCUUCCUUGCUCAAGGCUUGUGGGCAGGUGGGCUCAGUUUUGGUGGCCGAACAAAUGCAUUGCAGUACAUUAAAGCAUGGUCUCGAAUCACACCUCUUCGUUAGGAACGCUCUAAUACAUAUGUACGGCAUGUUCAAGUACAUUGAAACAUCACGCCAGCUGUUUGAAGAAAUUCCCAGUCCAGAAUUAGUAGCAUGGAACACGAUUAUUGGUUGCUAUGUCUAUUGCGGUAGGUGCAGAGAAGCACUUGAUAUGUUCUCUCGGAUGUUGAAAUUUGGUAUAGAGCCUGAUGAAGCCACAUUGGUUGAAACCCUUGCAGCAUGCUCUGCGCUGGGAGCAUUAGAUUUUGGGAAAUGGGUUCAUUCUUGUAUUAGUAAUACUGGUCUUGGGAGCCUUUUAGAGGUCAAUAAUUCGCUGAUUGAUAUGUAUGCUAAGUGUGGUGCUGUGGAAGAGGCGUAUGAGACAUUCUAUAGGAUGAAAAAGAGGAAUACAAUAACAUGGAACACAAUGAUUUUGGGGCUAGCAACUCAUGGCCAAACAAAUGAGGCAUUGGCACUAUUUUCGAAAAUGUUAGAACAGAAGCUUUUGGAACCAGAUGGUGUAACUUUCUUGGGGGUUCUUUGUGCUUGCAGCCAUGGCGGGAUGGUGGAAGAAGGAAGAAAUUUUUUUGGUAUUAUGAGCAAAGAAUAUCUUAUUCAACCAACAAUAAAGCACUAUGGGUGCAUGGUGGAUAUUCUGGGUCGUGCUGGGUUUGUGGAGGAGGCCUAUGGAUUGGUAAGGAGCAUGCCAAUGGAGUGCAAUGCCAUCGUGUGGAGGACAUUGUUGGCCGCUUGUAGGUUGCAUGGAAAUGUUGAACUCGGGAAGCAGGUGCGGAGACAUCUUUUGCAAUUAGAACCAAAUCAUAGCAGCGAUUAUGUUCUUCUUUCAAACAUUUAUGCAAGUUUGGGGCAGUGGAAUGAAGUAAUGAGAGUGACAAAAUCAAUGCAGAAUAGGGGAGUCCUGACCGUGGUAAUUGCUUCAUUGGCAUGCAUCUUAGCAUGAGGAUUAAGUUCCUCACAAGUUACUACAAAUGCGAGUUAUUACCUUCUUGCAAUCGAUGUAGCCGAGCUUGCUUAAUGCAAGCUAUUACCAGGAUUGAUUUGAAAAUGGACAGUUUAGAUAUGAAUGAUGGAAUCCAUCAGAGCUUGUUUUAGUGCGAGGGAAACUGCCACUGCAACUAGAAUUACUGCAAUUAAAAUGUUCACAACAAAAUCAAAAACCGGAUAUUAGUGACUUAUAGAGACAUUCCUGUUGGCAAUAAGAUUGUGAUCUGUGUCCAAGAAGUCCAAGAAACCUUUCAGUACAUAGAAGAUGUCUCUAGUUUGAUAACACAACAUCACACGCCAAAUUUUCCAUUUUGAUUCUAAAUUAAAGUAGCAUCAUAGUUGCCCGUUUGAUGACUCUGUAAGCUAAGUGGAUUUCUUUCGUUUAUUGUCCUUCCAUUCCUUGAUCUCCGCAUCUAUCUUUGCCUUGACACUUGCAUGAAACCCUGGAUAUGGUUCAUAUCUGAAGACUUUUUGAAGAACCUCGAGCAAUACAAAGAAAGGAGCCAUCAGAAAGGCUUGUACAAGGUUGUCAAGAAGAGCAGGAGCCCGUUUCUACAGAAGAAUAUACCAGCUGGGAUUAUAAAUUUAGAGGUAAAUCAAAGCAACAUAUAUCAUUCAUAAAUCAGAAUACUAUAGAAUGCAGAGAACCUACCUCAAACACACCAUGGCCUAUAAACUGUCCAGUCCAACAAAACAAUUGUGCUGCCAGCACAACCUGAUUUAAAUUGAUGUUGCAACGAGUUAGUCCAAAUCCAGAUCAAAUUUAAAUAUUUCUGUCAACUACUCGUGAUAAAAUAUUCCAAAUAAUUGUUUUGGAGCUCCAAAUUCUAGGUAAGGAGACUUGGUAAAUAAACUUCUUAUCACGCCCUCAGGAUACUCCUUGCAUUUACAGUAUUCAACUGUUUUGCUUUGGUGUUUAUCCCUGGGGCACUUUCAAGAUAAUCUAUGGUUUUUGUAGAAAUGAUAUUAUCCUUAAAGAAACUGACAGCUGAAACUCUCAAUCAUGCUAGUUUAAUCAGCAAAAAAAAAAAAACCAAAGUAAACAAGAUUUUAUCAAUCCUAUGUUCUCUGGAACUGGAAGUAACUCCCAGAGAAAUUUUCCUAACUGGUCCCGCAACUAGGGUUCAAAGUUUUUCAUUUUCUUUUCAACAGCAAUUACAUCUGAUAGAAAACAUGACUCCAUAUAUUUAUGAACAAUCAGAUCUAUUUCAAACAAUUGAAAUGGCUUUACUGAUGUUUCCAUGUUUUAUUUUAUUUUCUAUUCACCAAGUUAGUAUGGUGCAUACUUAAAUGAAAAGGUCUCUGAAAAAAACUCCAAUAUGGUACAAACGCGAUACUGAACAAUGACAGAGAAAUUCAAGUCAAGAAAAUAUUGAUGUGGGGUGACAGAGAAAAGAUGUUGCGAUAGAAAAAAAAUAACACUUAAGACAAUUCAUACACGUGGCUCAAGUGAUCUAUUUUUGAAAAAUUGACCCACCAUUGCUGCUUGUCCUGAAAAAUUUUAAGAUUUAAUAAAAGUGAUAGUUUCAAACUUUUCCAAUUAGUUAGAAUGGCAAGCCACUUCCUGUCUUGCAUUCUUAACUGAACAUAGCUAUAUGAAAUUAGAGCUCUUUGAUACCAACAGACUUCAAAAUUUCCUCUGGUUAUGUAUUUUGUGUUUCGUGUCGUAUACAGACAAGGAUUGUACUUGGGUUGGCUAAGCUAGACUCGACCAUGGUCUGGCUCAAAAAUGGAACCAGAUUGUACCAACUCAGAACCGAAACCAAUCAAAACCAGAUUGACCAAAAUCAGUCUUGAACAGGACUGAAACUGGCCGGCUCAAUUUCUGAUCAAAACCAGAUUUCUUCUUUUAAAAAACAUAUAAAUUUGGAUAAAAAAAUCAUCAAUUAUAUUUGAUCAAAACAAGAACAGACCGGUGACCACCAUUAGGCUAAGCAGACAGAGGCUGCUUGCUUCAGCAUCUAAAAAUGAUGCAUUUGGCACCUGCUAAAGUGGCAACCAUUUUUUAGCAAGCCCAAAAUGUAAACAAAACACACAAUGACUUAUAGCCAUUAUCCAGUGAAUUGCUGAUGGUCAAACCUACAUGAUGAUUCGCUGCCAAAUUGGAAUUGUCUUCUUCUUUCUUCUUUAGUUUUCAUAUUCAAGAGUGUGAAAUGAACAAUUUAACAAACACGGUUCAAACCAUCACAAGUAAAAAAGAAUGAUUCAAAGCUCAGAAAUGGACUUUAUGGCCAAAACAAAAAUAAAAAAUAAAUAAAACUACCCAAAUUAUUUUCUAAAACUAUUGUCACAGACAGGCAUGUAGCACUUAUUUUAAGGUCUUCACAGGGGGAAGACUUUAUCCUUCUGCUAGAUCUACAAUAACAAUAAAUAAAAAAAUAACCAAAAAAUCCCUAAAUCCCGCAGCCGCAAGAGAUGCAAACAAUAAAAAAACCAAAAUUUAAUUACUAAAAGAAUAAAAAAAUAGGAUGCGAGAAGCAGGAGAUGCACAUCAUUCAAGAACAGAAUCCACAUGAAUUUAAUGCUAGGAGAAAAGAAGAACACUUAUCGAUUAAAAUAUCACAAAUUUAAAACAAGCCCUGACAUUAUCCAAAAGCGCAGAAAUUUUCCGUCUUUUCUAUAUUUCUCAUCAAUCAAACAGUACCUAAAUCAAAUUUACCUUCCAAGCCAAAGAAAAACCAAGCCUCCCAGAAAUGAAACUGGCACCAAUCCAACACGCAAAGCAAAGCAUAGCAGCCAAAGUUCCAGCUUUCUUAUCAAAGCACACAUAAAACACAGCAUAGAUUAGAGUGAAAAAGAAGCCAAAAUUCAGCGACAGUCCAUGACUACCACCAAACCCAAUUUGAGAUAUAUCGUAUAUCGAAGGUGUAAAGUAGAAGAGCAUAAGAGAAGUGAAGAAGAUUGGCCACACAAAUAAUGUAUGUAUGAAAAUGUUAAUCGGGUUGCUGUGGUAAGCUCCAUAGAAGGCAAAGUGGGUCUCCAAAUCAAAGAUUCCUGCCUUCUUAGCCAUUGAGAUUUUCUCGAGAAAAAAAUUGCGAGGCUUUCCAGGGAAUUUACGAG